rnacentral:rRNA from 1 species
UACGUAGGGUGCAAGCGUUAAUCGGAAUUACUGGGCGUAAAGCGUGCGCAGGCGGUGAUGUAAGACAGUUGUCGAAAUCCCCGGGCUCAACCUGGGAACUGCAUCUGUGACUGCAUCGCUGGAGUGCGGCAGAGGGGGAUGGAAUUCCGCGUGUAGCAGUGAAAUGCGUAGAUAUGCGGAGGAACACCGAUGGCGAAGGCAAUCCCUGGGCCUGCACUGACGCUCAUGCACGAAGCGUGGGAGC